rnacentral:rRNA from 1 species
UACAGAGGUCUCAAGCGUUGUUCGGAAUUACUGGGCGUAAAGGGCUCGUAGGUGGCCAACUAAGUCAGACGUGAAAUCCCUCGGCUUAACCGGGGAACUGCGUCUGAUACUGGAUGGCUUGAGUUUGGGAGAGGGACGCGGAAUUCCAGGUGUAGCGGUGGAAUGCGCAGAUAUCAGGAGGAACACCAAUGGCGAAGGCAGAUCUCUGGGCCGUAACUGACGCUGAGGAGCGAAAGCAUGGGGAGCGAACAGG